UACCCUUGACAUGUCUGGAAUCCUGAAGAGAUUUGGGAGUGCUCGAAAGAGAGCCAGAACACAGGUGCUGCAUGGCCGUCGUCAGCUCGUGUCGUGAGAUGUUGGGUUAAGUCCCGCAACGAGCGCAACCCUUGUCAUUAGUUGCUACGAAAGGGCACUCUAAUGAGACUGCCGGCGACAAACCGGAGGAAGGUGGGGAUGACGUCAGGUCCUCAUGGCCCUUAUGGGUAGGGCUACACACGUCAUACAAUGGCCGGUACAGAGGGCUGCCAACCCGCGAGGGGGAGCCAAUCCCAGAAAACCGGUCGUAGUCCGGAUCGCAGUCUGCAACUCGACUGCGUGAAGUCGGAAUCGCUAGUAAUCGCGGAUCAGCUUGCCGCGGUGAAUACGUUCCCGGGUCUUGUACACACCGCCCGUCACACCAUGGGAGCGGGUUCUGCCAGAAGUAGUUAGCCUAACCGCAAGGAGGGCGAUUACCACGGCAGGGUUCGUGACUGGGGUGAAGUCGUAACAAGGUAGCCGUAUCGGAAGGUGCGGCUGGAUCACCUCCUU
rnacentral:rRNA from 1 species